UACGUAGGGGGCAAGCGUUGUCCGGAUUUAUUGGGCGUAAAGAGCGUGUAGGCGGCCAUGCAGGUCCGUUGUGAAAACUCGAGGCUCAACCUCGAGACGCCGAUGGAAACCGCAUGGCUAGAGUCCGGAAGAGGAGAGUGGAAUUCCUGGUGUAGCGGUGAAAUGCGCAGAUAUCAGGAGGAACACCGAUGGCGAAGGCAGGUCUCUGGGCAGUAACUGACGCUGAGGAGCGAAAGCAUGGGGAGCGAACAGG
rnacentral:rRNA from 1 species